UACGUAUGGUGCAAGCGUUAUCCGGAUUUACUGGGUGUAAAGGGCGUGCAGCCGGGCUGACAAGUCAGAUGUGAAAUCCCGCGGCUCAACCGCGGAACUGCAUUUGAAACUGUCAGUCUUGAGUACCGGAGAGGUCAUCGGAAUUCCUUGUGUAGCGGUGAAAUGCGUAGAUAUAAGGAAGAACACCAGUGGCGAAGGCGGAUGACUGGACGGCAACUGACGGUGAGGCGCGAAAGCGUGGGGAGCAAACAGG
rnacentral:rRNA from 1 species